rfam:Fukomys damarensis contig127959, whole genome shotgun sequence.
AGCUUUGCACAGUGACAGUCAUAGCCAGUGAGGUUUAUCUGAGGCACAAUUAUUGCUCAUUGAAAACUUUUCCCAUAUAGCAUCACAAAAGUAUGCAAUGUGAUGUCUUAAGACCAGUUUGCCAGAAC